rnacentral:rRNA from 1 species
UACGUAGGGACCAAGCGUUGUUCGGAUUUACUGGGCGUAAAGCGCGUGUAGGCGGCUUUGCACGUCGGAUGUGAAAUCCCACGGCUCAACCGUGGAAGUGCAUUCGAAACUGCAAGGCUAGAGUUCUGGAGAGGAAGGUGGAAUGCUUGGUGUAGAGGUGAAAUUCGUAGAUAUCAAGCGGAACACCGGUGGCGAAGGCGGCCUUCUGGACAGUAACUGACGCUGAGACGCGAAAGCGUGGGGAGCAAACAGG